rnacentral:rRNA from 1 species
UACGGGAGGCAGCAGUGGGGAAUCUUAGACAAUGGGCGCAAGGCUGAUCUAGCCAUGCCGCGUGAGUGAUGAAGGCCCUAGGGUCGUAAAGCUCUUUCGCCUGUGAAGAUAAUGACUGUAGCAGGUAAAGAAACCCCGGCUAACUCCGUGCCAGCAGCCGCGGUAAU